UCAGAUCACCUUCAUCACCAACAUGUUCGCUGUAGCUGUGCUGCUUCUGCUGGCUGCUGGAUCCUGUGUGAAGUGUGAACAGCUGACACAGCCAGCCUCUGUGACUGUGCAGCCAGGUCAAUGUCUGACCAUCAGCUGUCAGGUCUCUUAUUCCCUGAGCAGCUAUUGGACACAUUGGAUCAGACAGCCUGCAGGGAAAGGACUGGAGUGGAUUGGGAUGAAACAUGGUGGUGGAGAUUCCUAUUACAAAGAUUUACUGAAAAAUAAAUUCAGCAUCGAUGCAGACUCUUCCAGUAAAACAGUGACUCUGAAUGGAAACAAUCUGCAGCCUGAGGACUCUGCUGUGUAUUACUGUGCCAGACUCCACUGUGACACAACAAGCAGCACAGCUGUACAAAAACCCCUCUGAACAGGAGUCCCCGAGGAGGCACUCUAAGACCAAUAAAGAUCCACAACUGGUUUACUGACUAAAGUCUUAGUUUGCAAUCUUUGAUGUGUUUUUUUUCAGGUAAUU